rnacentral:rRNA from 1 species
CCCUUAGAUGUUCUGGGCCGCACGCGCGCUACACUGAUGCAUUCAACGAGUUUUUCCUGGUCCGAGAGGAAUGGGUGACCUUUUGAAAGUGCGUCGUGCUAGGGAUAGACUAUUGCAAUUAUUGGUCUUCAACGAGGAAUUCCUAGUAGACGUAGUUCAUCAGACUGCAUCGAUUACGUCCCUGCCCUUUGUACACACCGCCCGUCGCUCCUACCGAUUGGAUGAUCCGGUGAGCUAUUCGGACUUUCAUCAUGCUGGUUUCCAGUUUUGAUGAAGGAAAGUCUUGCGAACCUUAUCAUUUAGAGGAAGGAGAAGUCGUAACA